rnacentral:rRNA from 1 species
CGCGUGGGAACGUGCCCAGAUCUACGGAAUAGCCACUGGAAACGGUGAGUAAUACCGUAUACGCCCUUUGGGGGAAAGAUUUAUCGGAUUUGGAUCGGCCCGCGUUAGAUUAGGUAGUUGGUGGGGUAACGGCCUACCAAGCCUACGAUCUAUAGCUGGUUUUAGAGGAUGAUCAGCAACACUGGGACUGAGACACGGCCCAGACUCCUACGGGAGGCAGCAGUGGGGAAUCUUGGACAAUGGGGGCAACCCUGAUCCAGCCAUGCCGCGUGAGUGAAGAAGGCCCUAGGGUCGUAAAAC